rnacentral:rRNA from 1 species
UACGAGUGGUGCAAGCGUUAUUCGGAAUCAUUGGGCGUAAAGGGUGUGUAGACGGCAUAUUAAGUCAACUGUUAAAUUCUCCGGCCUAACCGGAGGCUCAUAGUAGAUACUGAUGUGCUAGAGGGUGAAAGAGAGAAGUGGAAUUCUCGGAGUAGCGGUAAAAUGCGUAGAUCUCGAGAGGAACACCAAUGGCGAAAGCAGCUUCUUGGUUCACUUCUGACGUUGAAACACGAAAGCGUGGGGAGCAAACAGG